AGCGAACGCUGGCGGCAGGCCUAACACAUGCAAGUCGAGCGAAGUCUUCGGACUUAGUGGCGGACGGGUGAGUAACACGUGGGAACGUGCCUUUAGGUUCGGAAUAACUCAGGGAAACUUGUGCUAAUACCGAAUGUGCCCUUCGGGGGAAAGAUUUAUCGCCUUUAGAGCGGCCCGCGUCUGAUUAGCUAGUUGGUGAGGUAAAGGCUCACCAAGGCUACGAUCAGUAGCUGGUCUGAGAGGAUGGCCAGCCACAUUGGGACUGAGACACGGCCCAAACUCCUACGGGAGGUAGCAGUGGGGAAUCUUGCGCAAUGGGCGAAAGCCUGACGCAGCCAUGCCGCGUGGAUGAUGAAGGUCUUAGGAUCGUAAAAUCCUUUCACCGGUGAAGAUAAUGGCUGUAGCCGGAGAAGAAGCCCCGGCUAACUUCGUGCCAGCAGCCGCCGUAAUAC
rnacentral:rRNA from 1 species